rnacentral:rRNA from 1 species
CCUACGGGGGGCAGCAGUGGGGAAUUUUGGACAAUGGGCGCAAGCCUGAUCCAGCCAUGCCGCGUGUGGGAAGAAGGCCUUCGGGUUGUAAACCACUUUUGUGGAAAGGGCGGUACCUGAAGAAUAAGCACCGGCUAACUACGUGCCAGCAGCCGCGGUAAUACGUAGGGUGCAAGCGUUAAUCGGAAUUACUGGGCGUAAAGCGUGCGCAGGCGGCUUUGCAAGACAGAUGUGAAAUCCCCGGGCUUAACCUGGGAACUGCAUUUGUGACUGCAUGGCUGGAGUGCGGCAGAGGGGGAUGGAAUUCCGCGUGUAGCAGUGAAAUGCGUAGAUAUGCGGAGGAACACCGAUGGCGAAGGCAAUCCCCUGGGCCUGACUGACGCUCAUGCACGAAAGCGUGGGGAGCAAACAGGAUUAGAUACCCUUGUAGUC